GGCGUCGAGCGGCGGACGGGUGAGUAAUACUUAGGAAUCUACCUAGUAGUGGGGGAUAGCACGGGGAAACUCGUAUUAAUACCGCAUACGUCCUACGGGAGAAAGGGGGCAACUUUGUUGCUCUCGCUAUUAGAUGAGCCUAAGUCGGAUUAGCUAGAUGGUGGGGUAAAGGCCUACCAUGGCGACGAUCUGUAGCUGGUCUGAGAGGAUGAUCAGCCACACCGGGACUGAGACACGGCCCGGACUCCUACGGGAGGCAGCAGUGGGGAAUAUUGGACAAUGGGGGAAACCCUGAUCCAGCCAUGCCGCGUGUGUGAAGAAGGCCUUUUGGUUGUAAAGCACUUUAAGCAGUGAAGAAGACUCUUCGGUUAAUACCCGGAGACGAUGACAUUAGCUGCAGAAUAAGCACCGGCUAACUCUGUGCCAGCAGCCGCGGUAAUACAGAGGGUGCAAGCGUUAAUCGGAAUUACUGGGCGUAAAGCGAGCGUAGGUGGCUUGAUAAGUCAGAUGUGAAAUCCCCGGGCUUAACCUGGGAACUGCAUCUGAAACUGUUAGGCUAGAGUAGGUGAGAGGGAAGUAGAAUUUCAGGUGUAGCGGUGAAAUGCGUAGAGAUCUGAAGGAAUACCGAUGGCGAAGGCAGCUUCCUGGCAUCAUACUGACACUGAGGCUCGAAAGCGUGGGUAGCAAACAGGAUUAGAUACCCUGGUAGUCCACGCCGUAAACGAUGUCUACUAGUCGUUGGGUCCCUUGAGGACUUAGUGACGCAGCUAACGCAAUAAGUAGACCGCCUGGGGAGUACGGCCGCAAGGUUAAAACUCAAAUGAAUUGACGGGGGCCCGCACAAGCGGUGGAGCAUGUGGUUUAAUUCGAUGCAACGCGAAGAACCUUACCUGGUCUUGACAUAUCUAGAAUCCUGCAGAGAUGCGGGAGUGCCUUCGGGAAUUAGAAUACAGGUGCUGCAUGGCUUGUCGUCAGCUCGUGUCGUGAGAUGUUGGGUUAAGUCCCGCAACGAGCGCAACCCUUGUCCUUAGUUACCAGCGGGUUAAGCCGGGAACUCUAAGGAUACUGCCAGUGACAAACUGGAGGAAGGCGGGGACGACGUCAAGUCAUCAUGGCCCUUACGACCAGGGCUACACACGUGCUACAAUGGUAGGUACAGAGGGCAGCUACACAGCGAUGUGAUGCGAAUCUCAAAAAGCCUAUCGUAGUCCAGAUUGGAGUCUGCAACUCGACUCCAUGAAGUAGGAAUCGCUAGUAAUCGCGGAUCAG
rnacentral:rRNA from 1 species